rnacentral:rRNA from 1 species
UGCAGUCGAGCGGUAGCACAAGGGAGCUUGCUCCCUGGGUGACGAGCGGCGGACGGGUGAGUAAUGUCUGGGAAACUGCCUGAUGGAGGGGGAUAACUACUGGAAACGGUAGCUAAUACCGCAUAACGUCUUCGGACCAAAGAGGGGGACCUUCGGGCCUCUUGCCAUCGGAUGUGCCCAGAUGGGAUUAGCUAGUAGGUGAGGUAAAGGCUCACCUAGGCGACGAUCCCUAGCUGGUCUGAGAGGAUGACCAGCCACACUGGAACUGAGACACGGUCCAGACUCCUACGGGAGGCAGCAGUGGGGAAUAUUGCACAAUGGGCGCAAGCCUGAUGCAGCCAUGCCGCGUGUGUGAAGAAGGCCUUCGGGUUGUAAAGCACUUUCAGCGGGGAGGAAGGCGAUAAGGUUAAUAACCUUGUCGAUUGACGUUACCCGCAGAAGAAGCACCGGCUAACUCCGUGCCAGCAGCCGCGGUAAUACGGAGGGUGCAAGCGUUAAUCGGAAUGACUGGGCGUAAAGCGCACGCAGGCGGUCUGUUAAGUUGGAUGUGAAAUCCCCGGGCUUAACCUGGGAACUGCAUUCAAAACUGACAGGCUAGAGUCUCGUAGAGGGGGGUAGAAUUCCAGGUGUAGCGGUGAAAUGCGUAGAGAUCUGGAGGAAUACCGGUGGCGAAGGCGGCCCCCUGGACGAAGACUGACGCUCAGGUGCGAAAGCGUGGGGAGCAAACAGGAUUAGAUACCCUGGUAGUCCACGCUGUAAACGAUGUCGAUUUGGAGGUUGUGCCCUUGAGGCGUGGCUUCCGGAGCUAACGCGUUAAAUCGACCGCCUGGGGAGUACGGCCGCAAGGUUAAAACUCAAAUGAAUUGACGGGGGCCCGCACAAGCGGUGGAGCAUGUGGUUUAAUUCGAUGCAACGCGAAGAACCUUACCUACUCUUGACAUCCAGAGAAGCCUGCAGAGAUGCGGGUGUGCCUUCGGGAGCUCUGAGACAGGUGCUGCAUGGCUGUCGUCAGCUCGUGUUGUGAAAUGUUGGGUUAAGUCCCGCAACGAGCGCAACCCUUAUCCUCUGUUGCCAGCACUUCGGGUGGGAACUCAGGGGAGACUGCCGGUGAUAAACCGGAGGAAGGUGGGGAUGACGUCAAGUCAUCAUGGCCCUU